ensembl:lncRNA
GGCGCCGCGAAUAUUUGUUUGGAAAGUGUCGUUGCCUCAGAACCCGCAUACGAUACUUAUUUAAUUGCGCUGUAGUUUUAAUAGAAAGGACAGUUAUAUUAACCGUAUGUUAGUGUUUUCAUUUUUGCCUCUCCUGGGCACAUCUUUUAAUGUGAAAUACAGUUGAUGUUGAACUAAUCAUCAUUACUUUAAUGCAAAUGAACGCACCUCUCUAACCUUAAUCGGAAUGAAAAUGGAUCGGAUUAAAUUGAAGAACGCAAAGGUGACAACGGGGGGCCAGAGGGACCUCUUGUCCUUCUUCUCCACGGGCAAACAGAAGGGGCGUAAUUGGAAACCAGCAGCCCAAUGAUGAACUCCCAGAAUCCCGGUUCAAUCUGUAUUGACCGCUAGUUUAUUGCCAAUGGCUCUGGGGUUAGGUCUCAAAGUCUACCGUCAAACAGUCGUCCACCAAGACCGAAGCCUGGAGCAGACCCAGUCUACCCCUCCCCGUCCUCUCCCCCAUCAAGAGGAGCGUCCUGGCAGUUGUGGAAAACAUUCUACCCCUCUCUCCAGAUCUCCUUCUGGCCAUCCCCGAGACCCCCGACAGCCAAAUCAGGCCCUCCUCAGCCAGAGUCCCUGGCCCGAGCCCCAACCCCAGCGCCGAGGCAUCCAGUCUGGGGGGGUCCCCUCUUUGUCGAAGCCCCAGCUCCAGACGAGUGGACAUGCGGCGGAAAAUGAGACUGGACGGAGAGCGGGAGAACCUGUCCGAGGAGGCGGUGGGAUCGGGGAAGCGGCUCUUCAGUCCAGAAGACUCCCACGCCGCCAAGAGGCCCAGAACUGGCGACGUACCAGCGAUCCACCGCUGGGCCGGAAGCAAAGCCUCCACCCCCGUUGAAACCCUACCUGCCAAGCAAUGCCUUACCGAAGGCCGCUUUGAGACGGAGGGGCCAGAAAGGAUUCAAAGUUCAGAGCUCUCCUCUCGCAGAUCUAACCAGGUGACCCUGAUCGGUGUUCAGCAGAACACCGUGGCCUCGCCAACGCCCCUCUCUGAGAUGGGCGGUCUUCCCCGAGAGGAGUCUGUGUUUACGCUCAUCAUGGAUCAGAGGGACACCAACCCGGCGGAGGUCGGCGCGCUGGCGCCCUCACCGCAGCGGACCAUGCGCGCUCCCAGCACGGCAGGUGGUGCAGACGGAGCUAAC